rnacentral:rRNA from 1 species
CAGCCGCCGCGGGAAUACGUAGGUGGCAAGCGUUGUCCGGAAUUAUUGGGCGUAAAGGGCUCGCAGGCGGUUUCUUAAGUCUGAUGUGAAAGCCCCCGGCUCAACCGGGGAGGGUCAUUGGAAACUGGGAAACUUGAGUGUAGAAGAGGAGAGUGGAAUUCCACGUGUAGCGGUGAAAUGCGUAGAGAUGUGGAGGAACACCAGUGGCGAAGGCGACUCUCUGGUCUGUAACUGACGCUGAGGAGCGAAAGCGUGGGGAGCGAACAGGAUUAGAGACCCCUGUAGUCCCUGUCUCUUAUAC